AAGUCGUAACAAGGUUUCCGUAGGUGAACCUGCGGAAGGAUCAUUAUUACGUAUCCAACGUAUAAACCAAUGUGAACUGUCUCCGCUCAGAGUAGGGUCAAUGGCACGUCGCGUUAAGGUCCAUCACUGUUAGUGAUGGGACUGCGGCGUGUCUCUGCUAGAGCUUUCGGGCUCUGUGUGGGACCUUGCUUGAAGCUGGUAUUCUCACUAACUUUAACUUUAUUAACCCAUUGCACUAUGCAUUGAACUAACUAUGUUUCGCGCUUUGUGGGUCCUUCGGGGCUAGCGGGCUCGAAAUCUAUUUACGUAACUUGAACAACUCUUAGCAACGGAUAUCUUGGCUCUC
rnacentral:misc_RNA from 1 species